rnacentral:lncRNA from 1 species
UUUUAAUGAAAUAAGGUAGCAGUAGCUUGGGAUUCUGCAGUGUUUGCUUUUACAGUAUAAAAUGCUGUUCCUGUACCUUUGCUGCUCCAGGACAAGUGUUCAUGCUACUCUUGGGAUUUUGGUAGGGUAUAACUUUUGGAAGACUACAGAAAUAAGAACAAUAUGUCGCUUUAUUUUGAUAUAAGUUCCCUGAAAUGUAAUUGUUGGCAGUCUGCCUGAGAUUAGAUCCUCCUUUAAUUCUGAAGUGUAUUUGGAGCUGGUUUGGUGUUAGUGUCUAAGUUUUCUCUUGUGUGCAGGAUAAUCUACCUUUUGUUGUUUCCAAAGAGGGGUAAUCCAUCACCAGGGAUACCAGAUUAUUGAAGCUUUUCUUUGGGGCAGUCUUGGGAAGAGGGAGAAGAUACGGAGUUUUACAGAGCUGGAAGAGAAUAGAUUCUUUAUAAAUUGUCAGCUGUAACUUUGUAAUUUUCAUAAUGCUUAUGUUACUGUAAAUCAGCUUUUGUUUUCCAAGAGAAAACCUCUAUGCCUUUAGCCCUUGGUGCAGAAGAUAAUAAAAUAGUCUGAUACAAUAAUGUUUUCCUACUCCAUUUUCAGCUGCCAGCUGAAAUCAUGGGGCUGCAAAACUUACCCUGGAAUAAACAAGUUCUGCUGAUAGCUGCUGGUGUGCAUGGAGCGUACCUCCCCAGUUGCUUACUACGGAGGCAAAGAAGGCAUGCAGCAAUUUCUAUAGACUCAGAAAAAGAAAACUUGUGCAGAGGGACGGAUGGAGGAAGAUUCAGAAGGAGUAGGAGGAGGAGACGACAAAGGCUGGCUAGAAUUUUUCUGAAAUUUCUUGGGCUCUUCCCCUUUGGCAAGUGGAGAAAGACAGAAAAAUGUUAACUUAACAGAGCUACGUUGACUCUGCAGUGGACUGGUAUCCCACCGUUACUGCUUUGCAGAUCCCGAAGAUGUGCUCACAAGGAAGCAUUGUUUCUAAACAUCAUAAGAUAGCCUGCUUUCAGAUCUGAAGUGGGAACAACGUGUUGCCUACUUCAAUUACAGUCUGAGAAUUAAUUUCAUAUGUGGAAGAACACAACAAAAAGAAGAGGUGAGCAUCUCUUUAUUGUUCUUACGUUCUACAGUGUAACAGAUGACUCCCCAAAAAAUCGAUUUUAUAAAAUCUGAAAAAAUAUUUGGAAGGAAGGAGCCAUCCAAAGGGCUUCUGUGUGUUGCUGACAACCUUAUUAAAGAGAAAUUAAAUUUUGGAGUUCCACCAUGUGGUUCAAAAAAAAAAAAGUUAAUUUUUAGCCAUAACUUAACACUAUCUGAAUUAAGUAUAUGGCUGUCCAAGCUAAUGCUCAUUGUAUGUUUAUGAAC